rnacentral:tRNA from 1 species
CCUCCGUCGUUUUAAGUAAGGCCGAACCCUACCCCGAAAAUCAUACCCUUAUUAAGGGGAAUUAU